rnacentral:rRNA from 1 species
AACGAACGCUGGCGGCGUGCUUAACACAUGCAAGUCGAACGAGAAAGGGGUAGCAAUACCCCCGGUAAAGUGGCGAACGGGUGAGUAACACGUGGGUAACCUGCCCUCGAGCUCGGAAUAACCCGCCGAAAGGUGGGCUAAUACCGGAUACGCUCUUCGGAGGAAAGGAAGCUUCGGCCUCCGCAUUGGGAUGAGUCCGCGGCGCAUUAGCUAGUUGGUGGGGUAAUGGCCUACCAAGGCGACGAUGCGUAGCUGGUCUGAGAGGACGAUCAGCCACACUGGAACUGAGACACGGUCCAGACUCCUACGGGAGGCAGCAGUGGGGAAUCUUGCGCAAUGCACGAAAGUGUGACGCAGCAACGCCGCGUGCGGGAAGAAGGUCUUCGGAUCGUAAACCGCUUUCAGUUGGGACGAGGGUCAGCUGGUGAAUAGCCAGUCUGACUGACGGUACCUUCAGAAGAAGCCCCGGCUAACUACGUGCCAGCCGCCGCGGUAACAC